AACGAACGCUGGCGGCAGGCUUAACACAUGCAAGUCGAACGCAUGCCUUCGGGCAUGAGUGGCAGACGGGUGAGUAACGCGUGGGAACCUACCCCUUGGUACGGGAUAGCUCCGGGAAACUGGAGAUAAUACCGUAUGUGUCCUGAGGGACAAAGAUUCAUCGCCAAGGGAUGGGCCCGCGUCGGAUUAGCUAGUUGGUGGGGUAACGGCCUACCAAGGCGACGAUCCGUAGCUGGUCUAAGAGGAGGAUCAGCCACAUUGGGACUGAGACACGGCCCCAUCUCCUACGGGGGGGAGCGGUGGGUAGUAUUGGACGAGGGGCGCAAGCCUGAUACAGCCAUGCCGCGUGAGUGAUGAAGGCCCUAGGAUUGUAAAGCUCUUUCACCGGUGACGAGAAUGACGGUAACCGGAGAAGAAGCCCCGGCUAACUUCGUG
rnacentral:rRNA from 1 species